AGGAUGAACGCUGGCGGUCUGCUUAACACAUGCAAGUCGAACGGAGUAGCAAUACUUAGUGGCGGACGGGUGAGUAACGCGUGAGAAUCUACCUUCAGGACGGAGACAACAGUUGGAAACGACUGCUAACCCCCGAUGUACCGAAAGGGCAAAUAUUUAUAGCCUGAAGAAGAGCUCGCGUCCGAUUAGCUAGUUGGAGAGGUAAAAGCUCACCAAGGCGACGAUCGGUAGCUGGUCUGAGAGGACGAUCAGCCACACUGGGACUGAGACACGGCCCAGACUCCUACGGGAGGCAGCAGUGGGGAAUAUUGCGCAAUGGGCGAAAGCCUGACGCAGCGACGCCGCGUGGGGGAUGAAUGCCUUCGGGUUGUAAACCCUUUCAGCAGGGACGAAGCGAAAGUGACGGUACCUGCAGAAGAAGCGCCGGCUAACUACGUGCCAGCAGCCGC
rnacentral:rRNA from 1 species